CUUGACGACCAUAGCGAGGUGGUCCCACCCCUUCCCAUCCCGAACAGGACCGUGAAACACCUUAGCGCCGAUGAUAGUGGACGUACGUCUGUGAAAGUAGGUCAUCGUCAAGC
rnacentral:rRNA from 2 species